rnacentral:lncRNA from 1 species
UAAAAUGUUCAAGUUAGUGAGUCUGCAGUCUAGAACAUCACCAAAGCUCAUAUAAUACACAUUUUACAUAUAUAUAUAUGAUUAUGUACUUAUAUUAAAAGACGGGGUAACAGUAGAUGCAAUGUAUAUAAUGUGUUUGUGUAUAUAUAUACACACACAUAUAUGUGUAUAUACAUGUCUUUUAUUGGUGUCAGUCAGGCACUUUCCAUUUUAACACUUCUACUUGAUGGUCUAGAACAGAGAAGAUCAGAACAGUGGGAUUUGUAACUAAUAGUUUAAUAAGUUAAUACCAAACAUUGUGUUAUUGUACAGUCCUACACAUUUAUGUUAUAUUUCUGUAUCUUUCUGUUGGCUCCCUAUCUGCUUCCCUUACAGAAUUCUAGAUUAGCUCUGAGACUAUGUGUGUACAAGUCCUUAACAAAGAAGGAAUCGUUUGCCACAUGCUUUUUGUAUGCUGUCUAUAGUUAAGAUAUGGGAAUAUUUGAAUUUUUGCUUUUCUCUAACAAUCUCAUUGUCAAAUGUCACUUGAAUUCCUUGAAGCACUGAAUCCCUUCACUCCAUCAUAAGAAGGCAGAACAAAGAAAAAGCAGUACUCAUUCCAGAGUCUGAGAUCGCAUUAGUAUUUUGAGAUUUUUCUGCAUCUUUACGUCGGCUUCUGAUCAAAAGUUGCCUCAUGUCCUGCCAGCUCAGUAAAUGGCAAUGUUAAUUCUUGACUGUGUAAAAUUAUCCAUGCAGACAUGACCUUAAAGAGCCUAAUUCCUGCUCACGCUGAAACUCCCUUAUAGCACUUUAGACCCUCCUCUUCCACUGUGUAUUUUCUAUGUCCACAUGAUUGAAGUUACAUAUUUUCCCCACCCUUUGGAUGGAUGGAGUGUGCGAUAAGAUUUCAUCUUGUUUCCUUGCAGGAAAUAGCCACCAAUAAAAAUUGUUCAGGAAGGGGGCAGACAUACUUUAUGCUCACUUUCAGAUGAUGUAUGAUGUAGUGUCAGUGCAGUUAUCAGUUGCACUUAGUGCAAAUGUAAAUUGAGCUGAAUUGGGGCAUAGCAAAUCUAGCUUCCAGCUAGUUAGCUUUCUUGAUGCCAGGUGUGUAGGUGUUAAAGCACAGAGCACAACAUGGCCUGACUAGCCAUUCACAUCUUCCUGCUUGCCCAGCUGCAUUGCAGCCUACACCAAGCAACCUGAAACAGAUAGUUUCCUCUAACUGGUUUAGGUAUUGCGAACUCUGUUGCAGGAGUGACUAACUUCUGGAUGAGAUUGUCUUAAAUUUUGCGUGGCCAUUCUGAGUACUGUAUAGAAAGAUUUUAUAACAUCUGUGGCAUGCCUUUCUCAUUAAUGGGUUAUAUGUGCCAGAGAAACAAUGGUCUAGAAAAUGCUUUUUACAUGGCUAUAAUUUGGGCCAUCAAUUCAAUUCAAUAUGCUUGCAGGAACUAAUGAAACAAAUGUUUUCUGUGAUCUGUCCAAAAAUACUGUUCUAAGGCUUCAAGAAUUGAUGGCUCAUCUCCUAGUACAUCUUUAGCACAGUUUUCUUUAUUAAUUUUUAAGCCUACAUAAAAUUAAUAAUUCUGCUGCUGAAUUUGGAUCACAUUUGAACAUCAUGGGGAAACCAUCUGAGUUGCACUUGCUUUGGUUCAAGUUUUGUAUUUGCCUUUGAAAGCAUAUGCUUCGUUAGCUAAAGGAAAGCCCUGAGGUGUGUAGGCUUCUCACUGUAGACGUUACCUAAGCAGUUCACUUGCCAUGGUGAUGUAGUAGCUAAAAAUGGCCUCAUCAAGCUCCCUUAUACAUGGAGCAAAAAGUCAGGCUUGUUUUAUGCCAUUUGCCACGUGGUAGGUUAUAGUGUUCACAUUUCUGUGUGAAGCAUUGCUAUCAUUACAUUAUAAAGACCUACAGUAAUGUUCUGAAAGUGGGGAGAGAUAACUGUAGGUGCUGUUGAUAAUAUAGUAUUUAGCAACACAAAAUAAAGAUUAUUUUUUUUAAUUGAUCUUCUUUAUUGUAUAGUGUGUAUUUUAAACUUGUUCUAUCACCUUUCAGUGAUACAACAUUCCUGUGAUUAUUAUUAUUACUCUUAAUAUUAUCAUCAUCUAUGAGAAUAAAAAAAUAUCCUGU